CUCCGCCUCCCCUCCGCCUCCCCUCCGCCGCGCCGCGUCCCCGAGUGGAAGCGCCCGGGCGGGCUGACUCAGGGUGCCCCUAACCUGGGCUCCAUAGAAAGAAUUCAGGAAGUCUGUCAUGAACUUGGGUGAGACGCACAAAGAGAACCACGUCACUUCUGUGAUGUUCCUGCCAAAGACUCAAAGCCUAAGUCUGGUCGGGAGGAGCCAUCAGAUGAACUCUUAUUGAGGAGCCUUCUAUGAAAUAACUGGCCUGUAAUCUUGUUUUGACUGAAGAAUCCAGAUUGAUAUGACUUCCUUGCAUGCUUUCCUCUAUGUACACCAUUCCAGGGACCCUUUAUAGAAACCAUUUCCUGUCCUUUUCAACACUUUCUUUCCUCUGUACCUUUGCUCCUGUGGGACUCCCUUUCUAGAAUGCCCUUCUUUCCUUGCCUCCUGCCCUCACAUCAAAAUAGUCCUCCUGUUCAAAUCCAUCCUGACUUCAUCAACUGAAAGUGGAACCGGCAGGGCCUUAGACACCAAUCCUCCACCGUUGUGUGGAUGGGAAUACUGAAGUCAUUCUGUGAGACAUGGGCAGAUUUGUGGCCAGGACUCCAGUGUCCUGAUUCCCUCAGGGGCAUUCUACAAUCCUGCUUGUUCAGCCUUUUCUGUCCUUACCCUCACUCAGGGCUGAAUAGACCUCUUCUUGACACUUACGUUCUCUCUCACACUGCUGGCCUUUGCACAUGCCUCUUCUUCAGCUUGAGUUGCCUCACUCCUUCCUAUCCUCCUGGCAAAGUUCCUGCUUGAACUUGGAGACUCUACUCAAGGAUCAGACUUCUGGAAGUCUUCCCUUAUUCCCAGGCCUCGCCCUGGCCACGCCGCUACUGUGACACUGUGACAUCUCCACAAUCCCUCCCCUGCACGGCCAUCAGGGCUUGACAUUCUCACACGAACAUGCUGUCGAGUUCCCAGGAGAUGCUUCUACCCUGCCUCUGGGUUGCACUUGGAGAGCUGCCGCCUAUGGUGUUCUGGAUAGGAAAAGUGAGGCGCUGGAAGAGUAAGUGAUCUACGCAAUAGCAGAGCCAAUAUUCAAACCCCUCUCCUGCCAUAGUGUUCAUCCCUUGCAACUACCCUGGAAGGUGAAGCACAUUAGCCUCUUCUACAACUGAGGAAUCUCAGGUAUGGAGAGGUGAGAAGCCCGAGGCCCAGAGAAGGCAAAGACCCUGCCUGAAGUCACACAGCCAGUACAUGUGACUCUGAAGGCCCACUUUCUGUCUUCCAAGGUAGAGGCCUGGAGUGAGAGGGCAAAGGCAGGAGCAUGCCUUCUACCACCCUUCCAUUCUGUUUCUGCUGGCAAGGCUAGACCCUGGUGCCCCUCUGCCCACCAUUUGCUGAAAGGCACAGGCAUCUUCACUUCGUGCUGGAAACCAGGCCUGCCAAGGAUCACUGUGCUCACCUUUUUUCCUUCCCUUGGCUUCUCUUUCCUCCUUCCUACCUGCCUGUCUACCUGACUUUUAAGUAAGAUAUAAAACAAAAUAAAGUACC